rnacentral:rRNA from 1 species
CCUACGGGUGGCAGCAGUGAGGAAUAUUGGGCAAUGGACGAGAGUCUGAACCAGCAAAGUAGCGUGAAGGAUGACUGCCCUAUGGUUUGUAAACUUCUUUUAUAAAGGAAUAAAACGACGCACGUGUGCCUUUUUGCAUGUACUUUAUGAAUAAGGAUCGGCUAACUCCGUGCCAUCAGACGCGGUACUACGGAGGAUCCGAGCGUUAUCCUGCUUUAUUGGGUUUAAAGUGAGAGUAGAUGGGUUGUUAAGUCAGUUGUGAAAGUUUGCGGCUCAACCGUAAAAUUGCAAUUGAUACUGGCAGUCUUGAGUACAGUUGAGGUGAGCGGAAUUCGUGGUGUAGCGGUGAAAUGCUUAGAUAUCACGAAGAACCCCGAUUGCGAAGGCAGCUUACUAAACUGUGACUGACAUUGAUGCUCGAAAGUGUGGGUAUCAAACAGGAUUAGAUACCCUUGUAGUC